CAUGUGAAACUUCAGUGAGGUGUUCAGAAAAGGCUGCUAGAAGAAAUAUUAGUGCUUUUAGGUUCCAUUAUACUGCAACCUUGUCAGAAGUCCUAGGAUAUAAACUUGAUCCCCAGGGCAUCGCUUCAUUUCCUGGAGUUUAUGAAUACAUUUUGCUGUUCCUGAUGAGGUAA